AUGUAUUCCCGGGCCACCUCUGGAGGUCCAGGGAUCAAAGGGGGCCCGAGGAUCCUGAAGGUGAAGCCCUGCCCGAGGCUCCACGGCUCCCCCAGGAAGGCCUUUGUGAUGAUUAUGAAGCCUGGGCAGGCACCCAAUCCCAAGCUGGGCCCAAUCACCCACCUCCUCCUUCCCUGGAAGCGGCCAGCGAUCCCCCUGCGGCCUUGGCAAGAGACCUUUAAAGAUGCAGGUGGAACCCGGAGAAAGCCACGCAGAGAAGCCGGGCCAGUGUUUGACCAACUGUGCCUGGAACUGGGCCAGGGAGAGGAAGUUACAGAGGGUUUGCAAAAUAACUUCCCCUCGCUUCUGAAGGCAGCCACAGCGUUCACGGCAAGAGCAGUAGUGGAGGACUCUUGGGAACCCAUCUCAGCUUCACAGAAACUGAAUUUUCCUUCCUCUCUCAAGGGAAGAAGGAUACCUGGGACCAGUUUUUUUACAGUACUGCUUUUCUCAGAAAAGUGA
rnacentral:lncRNA from 1 species